rnacentral:rRNA from 1 species
UGGGGAAUUUUGGACAAUGGGCGAAAGCCUGAUCCAGCCAUGCCGCGUGAGUGAAGAAGGCCUUCGGGUUGUAAAGCUCUUUUAGUCGGAAAGAAAGAGUUGCAAUGAAUAAUUGUGAUUUAUGACGGUACCGACAGAAAAAGCACCGGCUAACUACGUGCCAGCAGCCGCGGUAAUACGUAGGGUGCGGGCGUUAAUCGGAAUUACUGGGCGUAAAGGGUGCGCAGGCGGUCUUGCAAGUCAGAUGUGAAAGCCCCGGGCUUAACCUGGGAAUUGCGUUUGAAACUACAAGGCUAGAGUGCAGCAGAGGGGAGUGGAAUUCCAUGUGUAGCAGUGAAAUGCGUAGAGAUGUGGAAGAACACCGAUGGCGAAGGCAGCUCCCUGGGUUGACACUGACGCUCAUGCACGAAAGCGUGGGGAGCAAACA